rnacentral:rRNA from 1 species
UACGAAGGGGGCUAGCGUUGCUCGGAAUCACUGGGCGUAAAGCGCACGUAGGCGGCUUCUUAAGUCGGUGGUGAAAUCCUGGAGCUCAACUCCAGAACUGCCUUCGAUACUGGGAGCUCGAGUCCGGGAGAGGUGAGUGGAACUGCGAGUGUAGAGGUGAAAUUCGUAGAUAUUCGCAAGAACACCAGUGGCGAAGGCGGCUCACUGGCCCGGUACUGACGCUGAGGUGCGAAAGCGUGGGGAGCAAACAGGG